UUUUUUUUUUUUAUGUUUAUUCAGUGAGGAUAAAGUACAGAUUUUCAUUAAAUACAUUGAGCAUUUUUCAAGAUGAUGGAUAUGAAAGGAAUAGGGGUCAAAUUCCAAAGGGCAAUCAUAUACAUCAAGUGAUUAUCUAAAUUUAAGUUAUUGUGUUUGCUAGGUACAUUGUUAGCUUCACCAAAAUAUCGAGCUAUACGAGUGUGAUGGCUAUCUAAUAGUAUUAAAUUUGGAUAUGAAACUAGAAUGUUGCAUGGUUUUCAUAGAGUUCAUUGCAACUAUUUAUUAAGAAGGAUAUAUAUGAACUGCAAGAUAUGCCACCUAGCCCUCAUGAGCCUAGAUACUUACAUGUUCUCCAAUUCUAGUAGACCUUCUAGAUCUCUUGA
rnacentral:misc_RNA from 1 species